rnacentral:pre_miRNA from 1 species
CCCCUCUCCGCUAGACCUUUGGCCCUUGACGUUCGAGAAUCAGAUCAAUGGACUCUGCUUUUCUAACGCUCAAGGGCUAAAGAGGAAACUGGCGAACUGUGC